GAGUGGGGAAGUUUAUAUACUGGUGGGAGUCCAAAAAUGUUAGACAGGAGGUAAAAUCUCUGGUAAGAAGAUUAGCUUCAUCCAUGUGAAUGUUAAAAUCACCAACGAUUAUUGAGUUAUUGAGUGAAAUGAAGUCAUUAUUAGGAUAUUGGCAUGUUUCAGUCACGCAGAGAAAGUCAAGUUUGUGGUCAGAAAGGAGAUCGUGGACGAGAUGCUCUUUCCUCAUAAGAGAGCGAAUGUUCAGUAGACCGAAGUUAAUGCUGGAGUUGCCGUGUUUGACCAUGUGAUCAGCUGACCUGGCAACUUGGGCAAACAUGCUGUGAUUGAUAAUCCGAGUCUUUGCAUUGGGAGGACGCCGGGUUUUGGUCCAGAAGAAGCUAACUGUGCCAGGAUUUUGGACACAGAAACUUCGUCGGGAUCCUCGAUGAAUACAGCUGCGGCGUGGCUGGAAGGCGAUGACUGGAUGGAGGUGAAGGGCUGCUGGUGGAGGGAACGGCAGGUAAAAGCUCAGCCACAAAAGUUUGUUAGCGGAGUAAUGAAGAAGAGGGAGGCUACCUACUCAUUCACCAGGGUAAACCCCAACACACAGGCAUCAAGAUGGUGGGCAACAAGUAUGCCCACCCCUGCUCCGCACCUCUCAUUGGGAGCAAACUGUCCGUCGCCUCAGGAGAGGAAGGCAGCAACUCGCUCCCGCUGUUUACAGUGGGGAUGGGGAACUGCUGACGUCAACUAGGGCUAUGGUCGGAUGGUGGAAGGAAUACUUUGAGGAGCUUCUCAAUCCCACCUACGCGUAUUCCGAGGAGGAACCAGAGCCGGGAGGCCUGGGGAUGGACUGUCCAAUCUCGGGGGCAGAAGUUGCUGAGGUAGUGAAACAACUACACAGCGGCGGAGCCCCGGGGGCGGAUGAGAUUCGUCCUGGGUAUCUCAAGGUUAUGGAUGUUGUAGGGCUGUUGUGGUUUACACGUCUCUGCAACAUUGCGUGGUCAUCAGGGGCAGUUCCUGUGGAGUGGCAGACCGGGGUGGUGGCCCCAUCUUUAAGAAGGGUGACCUGAGGGUGUGUUCCAACUAUAGGGGGAUCACACUCCUCAGCCUCCCUGGAAAGGUCUACUCCAAGGUACUGGAGAGGACGGUAUGAUCGAUAGUUGAAUCUCAGAUUGAGGAGUAGCAAUGUGGUUUUCGUCCUGGCCGUGGAACUGUGGAGCAGCUCUAUACCCUUGCAAGGGUGAUGGAGGGGGCAUGGGAGUUUGCCCAACCAAUCCACCUGUGUUUUGUUGAUUUGGAGAAGGCUUAUGACCGUGUCCCCAUGGGCAGCCCUUAUCUCCACGUGUUGAGUCAAGCCUUUGGGAUCACUAACAGGGUUGGGAACCGGACCUCAAAUUCCUGACAGGAGUGUAAAUGGUCAGUAGAUCAUCUAUGUGUCGCGUAGCUAGGCCAUAGUCUCAUAACCAUGAGUAAAUAGGACCCAAGUAUUCAGCCAACACCAGAAUGAAUUAGUAAUAGUUUUUAUCUGUUGAGGACUUGUUGUUCUGCCCCAGAUGCCGGGCACAGGGACAGUUUGCUGAGCUGCUAAGAUUUUCCUGGCGAGCAGCACUUGAACAAAAACAGAGCAGUUGGUUAGCGAUCUCUCACCAUGGCAGAGACAACACAGAAGGCGUGGUCCUAAAAGCAGUCCAGGUUGGAACACGGGGGGGUCAGAUAUUAGGGAGGCACCAGGGUCCAGCAGGCAGAAGGGAGUCAGAGAGCAGGCAGGGGUUGAUAGCCAGGAGGUCCAGGUCGGUGAGGAUAAGCAGGCAAAGGGCAGGAGGCAUGGGGACAGAAACAGGGUCAAAAACGUAGAAGAGCUUGGCUUGGCUUGGCUUGGUAAAGGCUGAAUUUCGUCAGCAGGAGCUUCAGAUAAUCUGGCACAGAGCGGUGGCUGGAUGAAGCUUAUAUCCUGGAGAGCACAGGUGGAGAUGAUUAGACAGACAGUCCUGAGUAGACAAGCAACAGGUGAGCAUAGUUAGGUGGGGCACAGCAAUGCAGAGAGGCAGGAUCACUCAGGAUCAUGACACAGAGAGAUUUCAAAAAGAGCAACACCUUAAACUGGAUCCUCCAACAAAUAGGAAGUUAGUGAAGAGAAGCAAACACUUAACUAAGUACAUUUUAUUUAUACUGCACUUAUCACAUACAAAAUGCUUCACAUAGAUGAAAACUAAAUCAAACAUAAAGAGCUCAAAACAGAAAUAGAUUAACAUAGAAAAAUAAAGUAAAAUAAAUGAAAAAUGUAACAAAUUUGAGUUAAAAAUAAGAAAACAAAAGAAUUUGGUAAAAGAAGCUUGAAAUAAAAGGGUCUUCAGCUGGUUUUUAAAAGUGUCCAGACUGCCAAUGCUACGUAAGGAUAAAGGAAGAUCAUUCCAAAUUCGGGGUGCAACAGUCAGGAAGGAGCGAUCACCUCAACUUUUAUAUCUGGUGAUAUGAGAGUUAUGUGAUUGCACUUCCUUGUACCAGUUAGCAAAUGUGCUGCUGCAUUCAGGGCAAACAGUAGGUGAUGUAAAGAGGAGCGUUCCAGGCCAUAACACAGGGAGUAGCAGUGGUUCAACUAACAAGAGAUAAACAGAUGGAUAACAUAUUCAAAGACAGUUGCUAGUAGAUAUUGUUCGACCCUUGCCAGUUGUCUUAAAAUGAUAAAAACCAGACUGAACCACUGCACUUACAGAUGUAGUGUACCGAAGGACAAAAAUGUGGUUAUUUGUCCUCUGUAAGGUGAAAGGUCAUCGCACAGAGUGUCCAGGCUGUUCCCCCUGCACUCGUCUCCAAACCAGUAAACACACCGCUCUACGACCUUGUUGCCAAGAAGGGAAGCCAUAACAAACCCUUCUCCUGAAUUCCCUUAUUUUAGCAGAAAGCAAACCGGCAGAGUAAACAUCAUCUUCCUUAAAUCAUAAAUGGCUUUACCACUUUAUAGGCUGAUAUAAUCAGAUUUUGUUGAAUGAACAAGAUGUUUAAAUCCAAAGUGUUUUAAUAAUGUGUGCAUUAAUCAAUGAUGUGUUAAAAUAAAUAUUUUUCCUGUGAUGAUAAAUUUCAGGUUUUAAAUGGCACCAGAUUAAUAUUUGUUGAUUUAAUAAUUUAAUGUCAGUAUAUUCACACCUCAUAAUAAUUGUUGAAUUAAUGUUUUAUCAUUCACUCCACAUAAAUGUGUAAGAACAUUUUCACUCCACAUUAAGAAAUAACCUCUAAGUAUCUUGAGUGAAGGCGUUCUCUUGAGGUCUUUGGUACCGCCUUUAAAACAUGUCAGAUUCUGAUUUGUCUAAAAUUCAUAAACAAACAUCUUAGGUGUGUUCUUGCUGUGUUGUUUCUCUAAUUCCAUGCUGUAGUUCUUUUUUUAAAACACAGAGCAGUUCUGUUUACCUGUUUUCCCGCUACGUUUCGUUUGCGGCUGCAAACUUCCUCAGGCAAAAGUUGAUGAAUACAGAAAUCACUUCCUGAUCUAGUGAGUUCUCCAGAUGCCUCUGGGUUCGGCAGACUGGUGUGAGCAAGCAUUUGGAACCAUUGUCUCUUUUGACCCCAAGGUCAAAGUCUCUCUGCCGCGCUUGUGAGUGAUAUCAGUAGCGGCUCUUUUAGGAGCCACCCAGCACCUCGUCUGACCUGCAGACCCUGGUUGCAUCUCAUGGCCGGACUAGAAAUCUGAAUUCAAAGAGAACUACGACUCUUUGGGAUUCCUGUUACCAUGACGUCACCACUCUGGCUGCCUUUUGUUCGGACCGCUGAGAGCGACCGUCACCCAAAGCUACUGUAGAAUCUGCACGAUGGUGUCAGAUGGUUUUAUGAAUAAUCUCUAGCUUAUCAAACCAUACAGCCAAACUGAUUUUACAACCCAGACAUCACAAGAUCUCUCAGGUACUUACAAGAUUCUGCUAAAACAUCACAUCACCGGUUAUCCUGUACAACCAUCAUCUCCAUGCUGUCAUUCUUUUUUUAAAACACAGAAACGGUUUCGUUACCUGUUUUGUCGCUACGUUUCACCGGCAGUCCUCUGUUGCCCGUGGAUAAACGGAGAAGGAAGUGACGCGCCACCAUCAGCGUCAGCCUGAGGAAGCCUGCAGCCGCCGGCGAAACGUAGCGACAAAACAGGUAACGAAACCGUUUGUGUUUUAAAAAAAGAACGACAGCAUGGAAUUGGAACUAAUACACAGCAAGAACACACCUAAGAUGUUCAACCAUCAUCUCAUUCAUACUUUGGCCUGUAUACUCAUUAGAUAGGAAAAUAGAAUUUAAUUCAUUUUAAUAACUGUAUCCUUGACUCUGUCUGAAUUAAUAUGAAGUGUGUGUACCCUGAAUAGUACAAUAACCUAGAGUAAUCUAAAUCAGUUAAAGAUCAAUCAGAUUCAUAUUUCAUAUUUAUAUGAGAUAUCACAUCUUAUUGAUCACCUAACAAGUAUGUAGUCAGUCCUCGCUGCUACACACAUAUUUUAGCCUUUUAUUUUAUUUACUGGGGUAAACCUCCGUAUGUGAGCUGUCUUUAGUGAGAGCAAAGACAAUAUUAUUGUACAUCUUUGCAAAGACAAAAGAUUUAGAAUUACAUUUUUGUGAUGCCCACAUUUUUGCACCUGCCUAAUUCUGUUUAAACAUUAAUUGUUCUUUCUGCAAAUCCUAUAAGCCUUGUUUCAAUUCACAGAUAUCACUGUGUGUUUCUCCCGUAUGACAUAUUUACCUGAAAUCGUUUAUGAUUUAUACCGGAAAAUCAUAAAGAUUAACAAGGCUGUUUCCCAAACAUGACUUGAAACGUUUAUUUUUGUUUGUUUGUAUGUUUGUUUUGGUUUUUUUCGUUUUUGCUUCUUGUUCACUCUCGUCUCUACCAGUGUGUAUAGCAAAGUGACAUGACGUGUUUUCUUGUGGUGUUGAGACCCGUUAGGUGAAGCUUCUCCAGCGCCCCAUACUCCAGAACCCAACAGAAUUGAUCAGCUGCCAGCCAGGGUGAGGAGAAGAUUGGCCAGACAGUCCCAGCUCUGUCAUCAGGAAGUUGCUGCUUCCAGCCAACCUGAUGGCCCUCAGGAUGACUACCUUAGAUCUUUAGGUGUCAGGAUGCAGCAAGAAGCAGACUUAAGAAGUGAGCAGAGGAAAUGAAACAGGACCUCAGGACAUGUCUACUGACUUCUCCCCUGUGCAUCUGAACCAUAAGGGCUCGGUAGUUCCCUGGAUGCAGCCAGAACCAUCAGAUUGACUGAUGAGGAGGGAGCGGUUGGGAUAGGACAAUAAUGGGAAACAUCGUUCCUCUUAAACAUCAUGUUCUUAUCUUGAAUAACUGUUUGUGUGGCUAAGCUGGGUUUGUUUUUUAUUUAUGCCAGAAAAACUGCACCUCAGGAUCUGAACUAUUUUUAAAAGUUAAAAUCAAAGAAGCUCGUGUGUUCAUGAGUUAAUUUUUUAUUGCCUAUGUAAUGCUUUUAAUAAAUUAUAUUUUCACAUGUA